rnacentral:rRNA from 1 species
UACGUAGGGUGCAAGCGUUGUCCGGAAUUAUUGGGCGUAAAGAGCUCGUAGGCGGUCUGUCGCGUCGGAUGUGAAAAUCAGGGCUCAACCCUGGACCUGCAUUCGAUACGGGCAGACUAGAGUUCGGUAGGGGAGACUGGAAUUCCUGGUGUAGCGGUGAAAUGCGCAGAUAUCAGGAGGAACACCGGUGGCGAAGGCGGGUCUCUGGGCCGAAACUGACGCUGAGGAGCGAAAGCGUGGGAGCAAACAGG